rnacentral:rRNA from 1 species
GACAGAGGGUGCAAACGUUGUUCGGAAUUACUGGGCGUAAAGCGCACGUAGGCGGAUACUUAAGUCAGGGGUGAAAUCCCGGGGCUCAACCUCGGAACUGCCUUUGAUACUGCAAAUCUCGAGUCCGAUAGAGGUGGGUGGAAUUCCUAGUGUAGAGGUGAAAUUCGUAGAUAUUAGGAAGAACACCGGUGGCGAAGGCGGCCCACUGGAUCGGUACUGACGCUGAGGUGCGAAAGCGUGGGGAGCAAACAGG